UACGAAGGGGGCUAGCGUUGCUCGGAAUUACUGGGCGUAAAGGGCGCGUAGGCGGCGCUCCAAGUUAGGCGUGAAAGUCCUGGGCUCAACCUGGGAACUGCGCUUAAGACUGGAGUGCUUGAGGAUGGAAGAGGGUCGUGGAAUUCCCAGUGUAGAGGUGAAAUUCGUAGAUAUUGGGAAGAACACCGGUGGCGAAGGCGGCGACCUGGUCCAUUACUGACGCUGAGGCGCGAUAGCGUGGGGGAGCAAACAGG
rnacentral:rRNA from 1 species